rnacentral:piRNA from 1 species
UGAUGAAACAUGCAAAGCUAGCCACAU